rnacentral:rRNA from 1 species
GUGGGGAAUUUUGGACAAUGGGCGAAAGCCUGAUCCAGCCAUGCCGCGUGCAGGAUGAAGGCCUUCGGGUUGUAAACUGCUUUUGUACGGAACGAAAAGACUCUGGUUAAUACCUGGGGUCCAUGACGGUACCGUAAGAAUAAGCACCGGCUAACUACGUGCCAGCAGCCGCGGUAAUACGUAGGGUGCAAGCGUUAAUCGGAAUUACUGGGCGUAAAGCGUGCGCAGGCGGUUAUAUAAGACAGAUGUGAAAUCCCCGGGCUCAACCUGGGAACUGCUUUUGUGACUGUAUAGCUAGAGUACGGAAGAGGGGGAUGGAAUUCCGCGUGUAGCAGUGAAAUGCGUAGAUAUGCGGAGGAACACCGAUGGCGAAGGCAAUCCCCUGGGCCUGUACUGACGCUCAUGCACGAAAGCGUGGGGAGCAAACAGGAUUAGAUACCCCAGUAGUCC